GCAGUUGUGGCUCAGUGGUAGAGCAUCUGCCUCGCCUGCAGAAGGUCCCAGGUUCAAUCCCCGGCAUUUCCA